CACGGGUGAGUAACGCGUAGAUAACCUGUCUUCAUGGUCUGGAAUAAUACGCCGAAAGGGGUACUAAUACCGGAUAUCUUGCUUUUCAUAAGUUAUGCAAGCAAAGGUGGCCUCUGCAUAUGCUACUGCAUGAAGAGGGGUCUGCGUACCAUUAGCUAGUAGGUGGGGUAAUGGCCUACCUAGGCGACGAUGGUUAGCGGGUCUGAGAGGAUGAUCCGCCACACUGGCACUGGAACACGGGCCAGACUCCUACGGGAGGCAGCAGUGAGGAAUAUUGCGCAAUGGGGGAAACCCUGACGCAGCGACGCCGCGUGAGUGAGGAAAGGCCUUCGGGUCGUAAAGCUCUGUCAAGAGGAAAGAAGUGUACAAUGGCUAAUACCUGUUGUAUUUGACGGUACCUCUAAAGGAAGCACCGGCUAACUCCGUGCCAGCAGCUGC
rnacentral:rRNA from 1 species